GACGAACGCUGGCGGCGUGCUUAACACAUGCAAGUCGAACGGAAAGGCCUGCUUUCCCUUGUGGAUUGCGGGUACUCGAGUGGCGAACGGGUGAGUAACACGUGAGUGAUCCGCCCCCAACUUGGGUAUAAGCCUGGGAAACUGGGUCUAAUUCCCGAUAGGACUGCAGGGUGGUGCCUGUGGUGGAAAACGAUUUUCUAGUGGUUGGGGAUGAGCUCGCGGCCUAUCAGCUUGUUGGUGGGGUAAUGGCCUACCAAGGCGGCGACGGGUAGCCGGCCUGAGAGGGUGGACGGCCACAUUGGGACUGAGAUACGGCCCAGACUCCUACGGGAGGCAGCAGUGGGGAAGAUUGCACAAUGGGCGGAAGCCUGAUGCAGCGACGCCGCGUGGGGGAUGACGGCCUUCGGGUUGUAAACUCCUUUCGACCGCGAGGAAGCCACCUGGUUGGAAGGGUGGUGACGGUAGUGGUAGAAGAAGCACCGGCUAACUACGUG
rnacentral:rRNA from 1 species